CAGUGAUGGUGAAGUUCUGUCCUGAAGCUUUUGGUGACUCUUCUUUCUCCUUGUACCAGGUGUAAUUAGCUGCUGGGUUAGCGUCACUGCUACAGGUCAGAGUCACUGAGCUGCCCUCCUCUACCUCAGCAGAGGG